rnacentral:rRNA from 1 species
UGAUGUUAGCGGCGGACGGGUGAGUAACACGUGGGUAACCUGCCUGUAAGACUGGGAUAACUCCGGGAAACCGGGGCUAAUACCGGAUGGUUGUUUGAACCGCAUGGUUCAAACAUAAAAGGUGGCUUCGGCUACCACUUACAGAUGGACCCGCGGCGCAUUAGCUAGUUGGUGAGGUAACGGCUCACCAAGGCAACGAUGCGUAGCCGACCUGAGAGGGUGAUCGGCCACACUGGGACUGAGACACGGCCCAGACUCCUACGGGAGGCAGCAGUAGGGAAUCUUCCGCAAUGGACGAAAGUCUGACGGAGCAACGCCGCGUGAGUGAUGAAGGUUUUCGGAUCGUAAAGCUCUGUUGUUAGGGAAGAACAAGUACCGUUCGAAUAGGGCGGUACCUUGACGGUACCUAACCAGAAAGCCACGGCUAACUACGUGCCAGCAGCCGCGGUAAUACGUAGGUGGCAAGCGUUGUCCGGAAUUAUUGGGCGUAAAGGGCUCGCAGGCGGUUUCUUAAGUCUGAUGUGAAAGCCCCCGGCUCAACCGGGGAGGGUCAUUGGAAACUGGGGAACUUGAGUGCAGAAGAGGAGAGUGGAAUUCCACGUGUAGCGGUG